UUUCAGUAUGCUUCAUCCUGUGACGCAGUCUCAUAUCGCAAUUGUUGACAGAAGUCUCAAAGGUCAUAAAUGAAUUAUAUAAAUCCUAAGCAUUAAAACAUUCAGCUUCCAAAAAAAAAGUCUCAAAGGUCAUAAAUGAACGAUAUAAAUCUUAACCAUCAAAACAUUCAGCAUUCAAAAAAGUUCAGAACAAGAGGAUGAAGCUGUUGGUGUGUGCUAUCAUUGCCCUUCUGCUGCUGGAGGCUCUCUGUGUCCCUGCAUCUGAUAAAAGCAGUCUGCCGGAGACAGAUGACAACAUCUCUGACCAUCAAAUCCGUACAAACUUUAUAUUUAUCAUUUUAUAGCAGUUGCUUUCGUUCUUUUGUCUCCAUUUUAACAUUGUUUCGAUAAUUAAACCAUACUUACAUGUA